rnacentral:rRNA from 1 species
UGAAGGGCUGCAUUUAUUUGAUGUUAGGACCAAUACCUUUCGGGGUGAUUCGGGUGAUUCAGAGUAACUAUGCGAACCGCAGUGGCUUUUGGUCGGCGGUGACUUUAUGAGGUUCUGCCCUAUCAGGCUUUGCAACGGGUAUUGUCCUUUGCAACCGGUCACGGGUGACGGAGAAUCAGGGUUCGAUUCCGGAGAGGGAGC